UUAUUGAAUGGUGGAGCAGGCUCGAGGGGCUGAAUGGUCUACUCCUGUUCCUAUUUCUUAUGUUCUAGGAUUGGGUACGAUCUGACCAAAGACUAUAUCAAGUGCCGCAGUCUGAGGCUGUAAAGGAUUGGAAGUAAUCAUCGAUCAAACUCUGGAAGCAUCCCAUCAAUAUGAAGUAAUUAGCAUCUGGAACUAUGAAACAAUGAAAAGUUCAUGAACCACAGAGAUUUCAGCAGCAAUGAAUUCAGAAAGAGAGGCAGAUCGUUGAAAAUCUUGGCGGAUUUUGCUGAAACCAUACAGAUUCAGCUGCCGAAUGAAACUUUUCAUGCAGUCAGUUUCAAAAAUCCUGGAGGGACCGCGCCGCUCCAGCACCUCUUUCUUAAAGGACUCCUCAUCUAUA